rnacentral:rRNA from 1 species
GCAGUCGAGCGAUGAAACCCCUUCGGGGGUGGAUUAGCGGCGGACGGGUGAGUAACACGUGGGUAACCUGCCUCAAAGUGGGGGAUAGCCUUCCGAAAGGAAGAUUAAUACCGCAUAAAGCCAAGUUUCACAUGGAAUUUGGAUGAAAGGAGUAAUUCGCUUUGAGAUGGACCCGCGGCGCAUUAGUUAGUUGGUGGGGUAAUGGCCUACCAAGACAGCGAUGCGUAGCCGACCUGAGAGGGUGAUCGGCCACAUUGGAACUGAGAUACGGUCCAGACUCCUACGGGAGGCAGCAGUGGGGAAUAUUGCACAAUGGGCGAAAGCCUGAUGCAGCAACGCCGCGUGAGUGAUGAAGGUCUUCGGAUUGUAAAGCUCUGUCUUUUGGGACGAUAAUGACGGUACCAAAGGAGGAAGCCACGGCUAACUACGUGCCAGCAGCCGCGGUAAUACGUAGGUGGCGAGCGUUGUCCGGAUUUACUGGGCGUAAAGGGUGCGUAGGCGGAUGUUUAAGUGAGAUGUGAAAUACCCGGGCUUAACUUGGGUGCUGCAUUUCAAACUGGAUAUCUAGAGUGCAGGAGAGGAGAAUGGAAUUCCUAGUGUAGCGGUGAAAUGCGUAGAGAUUAGGAAGAACACCAGUGGCGAAAGCGAUUCUCUGGACUGUAACUGACGCUGAGGCACGAAAGCGUGGG